rnacentral:other from 1 species
GUUCCCCUGGAGUGUACGUGGUUUAUGCCUCGGUGCUGACCUGACAAGAGUGUGAAAUAAGGGGGCCGUUCCCUGUUUUUGGUGUGCAUGCCCGGCCCUGACCGGGGAGCCUGAAAAAAGCAUAUCGGCGCCCGACCUGGGAAACCAGGCCUUGCACCGCAAGCGUGACACGGCUCUCCGGGGUUAUG